GCAACCCGUGCCCAGCAGUGGCAGGAGCAACCGUGCCCAGCAGUGGCAAGAGCAACCGUGCCCAGCAGUGGCAAGAGCAACCGUGCCCAGCAGUGGCAGGAGCUCACCUUCAGACACUGACAUGAAUUGAUGUGAUAGUAACGAUGACUCUGACAUCAUGUCAACACCUUCUGGCUCCCACACCCAGGGCAAGAUGAACGAGGAUGAGACUAUUAACUUCCAGGCGUGGCCCAGCUUCUGGGGUCUCCAUAGUCACAGUGGGGCAUCGGUAGAGACAUCUGCAAAGUCAGAUGACUGUCUAGCUCCCUGUCAUCCCGACCACAGUCCACAGACGUGAGAGCACCACCAAGUCCCAGUUAGGAGACGGUGUUCUGUUCUGACAGGAGCAGAUGUGGGGACCUUCUUGCCGGACUCUUUCCCCAGGAAGUUAGCGCCAGUGGACCAUCUCAGACCUCUAAUGAAGUGACCAUCGUGUGGACCACUCUGUCCUGAUGGCAACUGGCAGACAAAAUAGAAAUUACUAUGAAGAAAGGAUGAUGGGAAGAACUGGUACCUUGUGUGGUUAAGAAGUCCAAAGGCAGGCCCUGUUCUUAUCCACCACAAGCACCAACAGGGAAACUGAGUCCCAGAAACCUUGUGUCACUGACCAGAGUGUAACCUCACCUUGAG